AUCCGGCUGACGAGUUCCAAAUAGGAUGGAACGUGCGUCCUGGAU
rnacentral:hammerhead_ribozyme from 1 species